rnacentral:rRNA from 1 species
GAUGAACGCUGGCGGCGUGCCUAAUACAUGCAAGUCUAGCGAACGGACGAGAAGCUUGCUUCUCUGAUGUUAGCGGCGGACGGGUGAGUAACACGUGGAUAACCUACCUAUAAGACUGGGAUAACUUCGGGAAACCGGAGCUAAUACCGGAUAAUAUUUUGAACCGCAUGGUUCAAAAGUGAAAGACGGUCUUGCUGUCACUUAUAGAUGGAUCCGCGCUGCAUUAGCUAGUUGGUAAGGUAACGGCUUACCAAGGCAACGAUGCAUAGCCGACCUGAGAGGGUGAUCGGCCACACUGGAACUGAGACACGGUCCAGACUCCUACGGGAGGCAGCAGUAGGGAAUCUUCCGCAAUGGGCGAAAGCCUGACGGAGCAACGCCGCGUGAGUGAUGAAGGUCUUCGGAUCGUAAAACUCUGUUAUUAGGGAAGAACAUAUGUGUAAGUAACUGUGCACAUCUUGACGGUACCUAAUCAGAAAGCCACGGCUAACCACGUG